GCCUGAUGCAGCCAUGCCGCGUGUGUGAAGAAGGCCUUCGGGUUGUAAAGCACUUUCAGCGGGGAGGAAGGCGAUGCGGUUAAUAACCGUGUUGAUUGACGUUACCCGCAGAAGAAGCACCGGCUAACUCCGUGCCAGCAGCCGCGGUAAUAA
rnacentral:rRNA from 1 species